AGAGGAUUUUUCAGUGGAUUACAGGUUGACCCUCACCAUCACACCCAAUCCCAAGGUUUAGGAAAUGACUGCCAUAAAAUUCCGGUGGAGCCUGGAGCAAUGGGCGUGCCGAAAGGUAGGGGCGUGCCAAAAUGUUUCUCAUUGGUCAAAGCAGUUUUACUCUGUUGGCCAAUCAGCGGUAAAUAUACAUGUACGUAAUUUCCUUUAGACAAGAGAAGGUGGCGGCGAUAAGACGUGAGGUAAUUAUUCAUCACACGUUUAUCUAUACUUUAUAUACCACAAAUAUGUAUAUUAAGAUAGCUUGUUACAAUACGAUCAUAAUUUUCCCUUUGCGUUAUAUCUUGCAGCUUUAGUAAUUGGUUUAUUGUUGUUGACAGACAUACUGUAUGUACAGUGAGACAAAACGAUGAGCGCAUCUGCAUCGAAGCUCUCAGAGCUGAUAGUUUGUAUCUGUGUCCUUUUUGUGCAAUACAGUACAGAAUACAUCCUGUAUCCAACUAAUGCAGAGUAUAUUCAUGUUUCCAACACACUGGUUGUGAAGAACCCUUUCCAGAGAAAUAUAAAGGAAAUAACUGUGAAACUUGUGUUGGGGAGGAUUCAGUGUCUGUUGAGGCCCAUGUGAAUGUGCUACAAAGUGAGUAUCAGAAAACACCUCCAGACACCUGGACUGUCAAAGAUCACACGGCAGGAACAUUCUCCUGGAGACGCUGAGAAAGCACGGAAGGAAUGUCUGGAGGAUGUACUCAAAAAAUACUCAUACUUAAGAACACCUGCUGGAGUGAGUAUAGUACACUCAAAAAAAUGAUUUUUCAGUUUUGUUCACUUUACCUGA
ensembl:lncRNA